rnacentral:snoRNA from 1 species
UCCCAUGAUGGCAUGAAAUCUUUGAGACCUGAUUCUAUAUUGAUGAAAUUUACAAGCAGUAUUUGCUGAGGAU